rnacentral:lncRNA from 1 species
CUUCUGUGAUUUCUUCAAAUCUGAGAUUGGUAUAUAGUGAUGUUAUAUCAUAUGUAACAAGUAGUACAUUAUUAUCAAAUGUACAGUUUUAAAUAUUUCUGAUUAAGUCACCUGUAUCAGAAAUGUAUGUUUUUUGUGUUUUCACUAAGGGAAGUAAGAAAUAAUCUAAGUAUCUCCCUAACCUUUCAAGUGGUCCAUUACACUGUGAUAUUAUUGGUCUACCAGGGACAUUUAUAGUUUUUAUUUGAUUGUUCUCGUUUUCAAUGUUUUGUAAAACUUCACGGUCUAGUUUGUGAAUUUUAGGGAGGAAGUAUGCAAAAGGUGUUUUUAUAUAAUUUUGUUCAUUUUUAAUGUAUUUGAAAGAUAUUUCAUCAAUACAGUUUUCUUCUUUCAUUUUGUAAAUUAUUUCAUAUACAUUUUUCUGGGUGUUUUUAAGAUUUAUCUCUUGGAUUUGUUCAUAAUGUAUGUUAUCAUUCAAUUGUUUUUCACCUUCUUUUAGGUAGUCAGAAAGAUUUUGAAUGACUGUUACAUUGUUUUUAUCUGCUUUAUGAAUGAUGAUAUUUUCAUCGUGUAUAAGAUUCUUCAGACAAUUCCUUUCUUGUAGUGAAAGGUUAAAUUCAGGGACAUAUUUAGAUAAUUCCAUUUUCGUAUAGAAAAUAUAUUUUUCAAUAGGGUUGUCGGUAAA